rnacentral:rRNA from 1 species
GCAAGUCGAACGGGCUCUUUGGAGCUAGUGGCGGACGGGUGAGUAACGCGUGAGAAUCUGCCUUCAGGAGGGGGAUAACGACUGGAAACGGUCGCUAAUACCCCAUAUGCCUCCGGGUGAAAAGUAAUUCGCCUGAAGAUGAGCUCGCGUCAGAUUAGCUAGUUGGUGGGGUAAGAGCCUACCAAGGCGACGAUCUGUAGCUGGUCUGAGAGGAUGAUCAGCCACAGUGGGACUGAGACACGGCCCAGACUCCUACGGGAGGCAGCAGUGGAGAAUUUUCCGCAAUGGGCGCAAGCCUGACGGAGCAAGACCGCGUGGGGGAUGACGGCCUAAUGGUUGUAAACCCCUUUGCUCUGGGAAGAAGACUGACGGUACCAGAGGAAUCAGCCUCGGCUAACUCCGUGCCAGCAGCCGCGGUAAUACGGAGGAGGCAAGCGUUAUCCGGAAUUAUUGGGCGUAAAGCGUCCGUAGGUGGUUAUUCAAGUCUGCUGUCAAAGCGUGGGGCUUAACUCCAUAGAGGCAGUGGAAACUGAGUGACUAGAGUGCGGUAGGGGUCGAGGGAAUUCCCAGUGUAGCGGUGAAAUGCGUAG